CCUACGGGUGGCAGCAGUGAGGAAUAUUGGUCAAUGGACGAGAGUCUGAACCAGCCAAGUAGCGUGAAGGAUGACUGCCCUAUGGGUUGUAAACUUCUUUUAUAUGGGAAUAAAAUGUUCCACGUGUGGGAUUUUGUAUGUACCAUAUGAAUAAGGAUCGGCUAACUCCGUGCCAGCAGCCGCGGUAAUACGGAGGAUCCGAGCGUUAUCCGGAUUUAUUGGGUUUAAAGGGAGCGUAGGUGGAUUGUUAAGUCAGUUGUGAAAGUUUGCGGCUCAACCGUAAAAUUGCAGUUGAAACUGGCAGUCUUGAGUACAGUAGAGGUGGGCGGAAUUCGUGGUGUAGCGGUGAAAUGCUUAGAUAUUACGAAGAACUCCGAUUGCGAAGGCAGUUCACUGGACUGCAACUGACACUGAGGCUCGAAAGUGUGGGUAUCAAACAGGAUUAGAUACCCUUGUAGUC
rnacentral:rRNA from 1 species